rnacentral:rRNA from 1 species
UACGAACUGUGCAAACGUUAUUCGGAAUCACUGGGCUUAAAGGGUGCGUAGGCGGCUGUCUAAGCAGGGUGUGAAAGCCCCCGGCUCAACCGGGGAAUUGCGUUCUGAACUGGACGGCUGGAGUGGGAUAGGGGUGUGUGGGAACUUCCGGUGGAGCGGUGAAAUGUGUUGAUAUCGGAAGGAACGCCGGUGGCGAAAGCGACACACUGGGUCUCAACUGACGCUGAGGCACGAAAGC